AGCCACAGCAGACACACUCGGGGCAGUAACAUUUCCAGAGAGAAGCAAGAAACGCCCCGUCAAUUACAGCUUGAACUGUGAUCUGAGGUCAGAGAUAAAAUCAC
rnacentral:lncRNA from 1 species